UUUUGUACAAAUUUUGAAAAUGUUCUAUAAAUCCUGAAACUUUUAUGUGAUUAGUUUAAUAAUAUUUCGGGAUUUGUAUAAAUAUUUUGGUAGUUGUCGGGGGAAAUUUUGCUGCGAGUUAUCUCUGUAAAUCAGUUAAAAGCGGGUAUAUGAUAGCUGAUUAGUCAGUACAUGAAAUAGAUGGCAGUUUAUAAUUAAGCGCGUGACCUUGCAUCUUUACUAACCUUCCGCCACCUGUAUUUUAUUUUGUUCUAUCUUCAGAAGUUAAAACCCCCAAUUCUCACAAUCUCUCUCCCUCGUGAAUCCCUCAGUUCAUCACCAUCCUUUUCACUUCCCCUCUGUACACAAUCCUCGCCUCCAUCACUCACCCUUGCAUCUUCACUGCUUUGUCUUCAGCCGCCGUGCUUUGUUAGGUUGUCUUUUCGCCGCCGUGUCCACUGGAAUCACGUGACGUUGCUUCUUCACCACCUUGUCUCUCCACCGCUGACCUUCUUCGCGCGCCGCCGCCGCUGCCCGUUCUUCUUGCUCAUCCCGGCGAAUUCACAUCCCCUCUCCUGAUAUUGUAAUCAAUGGGUAUAAAGCCAUUCUUCUUUGUAAAAUCAGUUAAUAUUUAUGUGUGUAUUUAAAUGUCGGGUAAUCGAAAUUAUAUUCGGGUGUACGGUGUUUAUACGUGUAUAAUCUGAUUUAUGUGUGUAUCAUCUGAUUUAUGUGUGUUUGUAUGUAUAUAAACUGAUUAUAUGCUUGUAAUUGAAGGUUGAUUGAAUUUUUGGAAAUUGAGAUUGGUGUUAGUAAUUGUAUGAUUGAAUUGUGUGCUUAAUUGAUAUUUGAAUUGGUUGUUGUAGUAUGAUUAUAAUUAGUACGCAAAAUAGUAGUAUAAUCGGAUGACUCAUGUACAUGAAUUAUGAGGAUAUAUAACUGAGUAUUCAAGCUUUCAGGUUAAGAUUUUGUGUAAAUGUUUUCAAAAUGGUGUUUAGGAGUUUAAGUAUUGGGCUAAAAUUUAGAUUUAUACAUAAUCCGUUGAAUUCGAGGUUGCUGCUGAUCUGUUUUGCAGUACAUUUCUGGGCUCAUAGAGUCAGAUUAUAUGCCUAAUCUUUGUGUGGUUAUGUGCUCCUCAGAGUCUAGUUUAUGUGCUCGAAAGAAUCGAAUCGAUUCGAUUAGCGAGCUAGGAGAUAUGACCGUUUUAGUAUGGUAUGCGCAGAAAAUACUGGACAGGGUCUGUUAUACUGAUUGCAGACUCUGUUUGGAGGUCUUAUACUUGGUGUUUAAUUCUGAAAUCUUUACUGGAGUUAGAUGUUAGUGUCUGGAAUAUGUCAUUAAAAUUUUAUACAAACAGACCAAUUUUCCUAUUUAUUAAAAUUCUUAGCGUGGGGCUGGUUCUGCAGGACAGACUCAGGUUCUUGACUUGCAGGCCCUGUUUUACUCCCUUAAACAUGGAAUUUUCUUCUGAAAUUUUUAUAGUAGAUUGGAAUAAUGUUUAGGAGUGUCUCAUAGAAAUUUUGUAUUAAAGAGAUAAAUUUUCAAUUUAUUAAAAAUCAUAGAGUGAGGGCUGUUUGAACUAUUUGUUCUCGUCUUCUUUCUUUGAUUAGUGCAUAGGAGGAGGUUAUACUUGGUUGGUCAGUGUUAAUCAUGUUUAAUAGUGAUAUAUGAUUUCAAAUCUAGCUAUGCAAGUGUGCAUACUGUGAUAUUGUGUUUUAAUUGAUAUUGGUCCAGUACUUAUUUGUUUAUUGAGUUGGAUUGAGUUGGUUACUUGUUGAAUAAUAUAAGAAAACAGGUGGAUAGUCCGAUAAAUAGAGGAAGUGCUGUCGAAUUUUCGUUAGAAACUAUAUAUGUUUUACUUGUUGAAGGAUAUUAAAUAGAUAAGAAUAAGGUGACAUGGUUAACUGAAACAUGUUAAAUGUUAACUUAUCAAUAUUGACUUUUUAAUGGCUAUAUAAGUUAAUUGUUCAACUAUGUGCUAUGUGUUUGUCUGACUACGUGGUAUGUAUAUGCGAAGGGUAGAUAUAUAAUAGGUCUUAAUGCUUUGCGAGCUUAGUUAAUCCGUCGACGACUGAAAUAAUAUUUUGCCAUCGUAUAGAAUUGAACGAGACGUUGAUCGAGGCAUUGAUCGAGAAGUGAUUGAAAUGGGUAUUCAGAAAUAGCUAAGUUGUGUUGCAAGUUGAAGUUAGGCAGAGAUUUGCUAUAGAUAAAAUCUUGUCAGAAGCUGGCAGAAAGGAAUGAUAUGGCACUACAUAGUGUUAUUAGAAAUCUGAGAUAGACACCGGAGUUAAGGCAAGUAUAUAUCCAACCUACUUUCUCUUUAAAAGAUUUUGCUCCUGCAAUGCUUUGUUAUGCUUUGAAUAUUGCAAAACUCCUUAUAGAAUUAGACUUCUACUAAUUAACUAGUAUUCUGGAAUUACCCAAGUAUGAAAUGGAAUACCCUUUGUCACUUAUAUCAUGCAAAUGUAUCAGCUUAAUUAUCAUCCUUAUCUUCUUCAACUGCCAGAUACUUAAUAUUGAGCUUAUAACUUUGUUUUCUUACCUCCCUCUCAACUACAACAAAUUGUGUUCUUGCUUAUAAACUAGUUCACUUGUUUGUUUCUGACUCAUAAAUCAAACCCUAUUUCUUGAAAGACCUUAGUUAUCAUCAUACAACCUACCCUGCCAUUAUUAUAAAAUACAUUGAUACACUUGAUUCAGUAACCUGUACCCUUGAUAAAGAAUACUUAAUUAGUAGAAAUCUAAUGCUAAGGUGUUGAAAUGAAUAUUUGGUUGAGAAUCAUUGUUGCUUACAGAUUUUGAACCUUGGUUUAAAAUGAAAAAAUGAAUUGAUUUAUCUGUUUUAGAAAGGGAAUUGGAUGAAAAUGUUUUAUGACCGAGGCGCCGGUCCCAAUUGAAUUAUUAAAGGCCAAAGUGUGCCUAGGAUCCUUUAUAUUUGAGAACUCGUAUUGAAUAUGCGGGUUCGGAGCUAUGUCGUGGGCUGAUCACCCAGCUUAGCUCGUAGCGUCUUAUCUGGUUCCAAUUCCAUAAAGAAGAAACUGUUUUGUUUAAAUCAUAUUGUGUUGGUAUCAUUAUCUUUAUAUCAUUGUUGGUUUGGAUAUUAUAUACUUGCUGAGCAUUCUUUUGCUCAUUCUUGCUAUUUCUUCUAACCCCUUUCAGAUAAUGUUAAAGAUGGUUCGCCUAUUUAGGCUAAGCAUAAGAGUAAGGCUAGGCGAGGAUUGCAAGUGACUAAGUUUCAACCUGAUGGUCAGGAAGAGUAUCCAAGAUCGAGUCCUUGGGACUAGUGGUAAUUAGAGUUGUCUAAAUUUGAUUUAGUUGUAAAAGCAUGUAAUAAGAUUUAUUAGUUUUACUUUUCUGAUUUCAAUAAUAUAGCCUGUUUGCGAUCCUGUUUUAAAGGGGGUUGAACUUUGUUUUUUUCUUAAAUCUUUUAUUAAAGCUUUUAGGUUUUAAAUUCUUUGAUUUUUAUUAGCUUUUCAACAAUACAUGUUUAGAAAGGGUAAAUCAUUUUUUUUAUAUCCAGGUUUGAAAUACUUGUUUUUACUUCCUUUUAAAAAAAAAACAUACAGAUUUUCAAUUGUUUUUCUUUUAGUGGCACCAAAUCUAGACCCCCGGAUUUGAGGGCUGUCACAGUUGGUAUCAGAGCUACAGGUUAUAAGUUAUUGAAAUCAGAAUGUAGGUUAUAAAAAUAGGUUUGAUAAAAAGGAUUAUGUGGUGUGACCUCAUAUAGAGGUAUCGUAAGACUAUUUGGGGAUAGUCUCUCUAAGCAGAAUAAAAUGAAGCUAGAUGAUUAAGUUUAAGUGUUUAUAGUUAUAGACAUCACGAUUCCUAAUUCUAGUUNNNN
rnacentral:lncRNA from 1 species